UAGGAGUGACUCACACAAGCCAGGUGCGC
rnacentral:sRNA from 1 species